CUUUUGCUUGAUACAGGUUAACCAUUGGACUGCAACCUUAAGGAACAGGGUCUCCUGGCCUCUAAGCCCAGCGACCUCCUACCUCCAAUUCCCAUCUCAAUAACGGGAUUCCAGGUGUUACUAUACCCAGACUCGGACAUAGGCUCUGUGGAUAUGAACUCUGUCCUCAUGAUUUUGAGGGAAAAAGAUAAACACUUGCCGCUCUGCACGACCUUUGUGGAAAUCUCACCUGAGCUGUUGCCGGAGCCCCAGUACAACAGAACUAGCAGGCUUGGAAAUAAAAUGUCUGGCUCCAUUGCAUUCUCAGCAACUCUUGGCUCAAAGGAUGCAGCUCAUUACAGAGAAAGGCAGAAAGGCAGAGACCUGUCCACCAGGGUGAGAUGAGGAAUAAUUGAGCUAAGCACGCUGAGGCAACAAUAAACUGGAGCAACGGCAACCGCAGAAAACAUUUUUGAGCGAGGCAUCCGUCCAGGAAACAGGAAUCAACAGACAUGAGAAGGGAGAGGAAAAAAAAGUCACAGAAGCCUGAGUAUGGACCUGGAAUGACCCACACAAGCAGAGGCGAGAGAGAACACUGAUUAUCCCAACGCCUAUCCUGACUUCUGUAUAGUCCUUAAUCCUGUAAAAUAUGUAUUCAUGUUGAUGAUCCCAAGUCUUGGCAAGAUGUUCUCCUGCUGAAUAAAUACAUGAAGAUGAAAACAAUGGCAGUACUGG
rnacentral:lncRNA from 1 species